UUUCCGUAGGUGAACCUGCGGAAGGAUCAUUAUUGUAUAACCGAGGUGCGAGGGCUGUCGCUGACCCGAAAGGUCGUGCACGCCCGAGUGCCCUCACACAUCCAUCUCACCCCUAUGUGAACCACCGCGUGGGUCCCCCUUUGGCUUGUUCGGAGGGGGGCUUACGUUUUCACACAAACUUUGUAUGCAGUGUAGAAUGUAUUUUUUGUUUUCGCGAUCACGCAAUCAAUACAACUUUCAACAACGGAUCUCUUGGCUCUC
rnacentral:misc_RNA from 1 species